CUUCGUCAUGUGAAAAGUACUGCCUACUUCAAAAUCUGUUUUGUUUCUGUUUUUUUCUUUUUCCCAAACUUAGAUCCAGGCUUGUCUGCCUCCCUCAUCCACAUACUCAUUAAAAUCAUCAGAACUAAGGGUGUGAGAAGGAUGGGGCCUCAAGUGUCCAACAGUGAAAAGAUGGUGGUGCACGUCUCAAAAGCAAGACAGGUCAGAUUUCAGACGAAGUAGGGAAAACUGCUGAAGCAACACAGGCAUCCAACACCAGUCCCACCAAGAUUAUGGAGCUGCUUGUAUCUUUC
rnacentral:lncRNA from 1 species